rnacentral:misc_RNA from 1 species
GGUUUGAUUCUGGCUCAGAUUGAACGCUGGCGGGAUGCUUUACACAUGCAAGUCGAACGGCAGCACGGACUUCGGUCUGGUGGCGAGUGGCGUUCAGGUGAGUAAUGUAUCGGAACGUGCUAGUAGCGGGGGAUAACUACCAUGAAAGCGUAGCUAAUACAUACGCCCUUCAGGAAGCGGGGACCUUCGGGCCUCGCACUAUUAGAGCGGCCGAUAUCAGUUAGCUAGUUGGUGGGGUAACGGCUCACCAAGGCGACGAUCCGUAGCUGGUUUGAGAGGACGACCAGCCG